rnacentral:rRNA from 1 species
CCCUUAGAUGUCCGGGUCCGCACGCGCGCUACACUGAAGGAAUCAGCGUGGCUUUCUCCCUGACCCGAAAGGGUUGGGAAACCCGUUGAAUCUCCUUCGUGAUAGGGAUUGGGGCUUGAAAUUGUUCCCCAUGAACGAGGAAUUCCCAGUAAGCGCGAGUCAUAAGCUCGCGUUGAUUACGUCCCUGCCCUUUGUACACACCGCCCGUCGCUACUACCGAUUGAACGGUUUAGUGAGGGCCUCGGAUUGGUCUCGGCCCGCUCUUUACCGGGCGGCGCCGUUGGUCGAGAAGACGCUCGAACUUGAUCGUUUAGAGGAAGUAAAAGUCGUAACA